GUCACGACGCUCUUCCGAUAUUUUAUUUGUCACAGGUCCCAGGGCAGUGCUGGGUGCUUUAUUUCACGCAGGGUGCCUGCCCGGGGCGGGGGGGAUGUACACAGGGGUGGGCGCUCAGAGCCCGCGGGGGCCUACUGGAGGGCCGGGCGCGCUGCUCAUUUACCCGGAGACUGGGUGAGGGAUAUCUGUGUGUGGUGGCUGUGCAGAG